AUAUGAGUCUAUACAACCCUGAACACAUUCAGUUUUAUCUGAUCCUGGAAGCUAAGCAGGGUUGGGCCUGGUUGGUACUCAGAUGGAAAAGUUUUGUGAAUGUGAUGAUCCUCAUGAU
rnacentral:rRNA from 1 species